AACGAACGCUGGCGGCAGGCCUAACACAUGCAAGUCGAGCGAACCCUUCGGGGUUAGCGGCGGACGGGUUAGUAACGCGUGGGAAUAUACCCUUUGGUACGGAAUAGCCUCGGGAAACUGAGAGUAAUACCGUAUGUGCCCUUCGGGGGAAAGAUUUAUCGCCAAAGGAUUAGCCCGCGUUGGAUUAGAUAGUUGGUGGGGUAAUGGCCUACCAAGUCUACGAUCCAUAGCUGGUUUGAGAGGAUGAUCAGCAACACUGGGACUGAGACACGGCCCAGACUCCUACGGGAGGCAGCAGUGGGGGAAUCUUAGACAAUGGGCGCAAGCCUGAUCUAGCCAUGCCGCGUGGACGACGAAGGCCUUAGGGUUGUAAAGUCCUUUCAGAUGGGAAGAUAAUGACGGUACCAUCAGAAGAAGCCCCGGCUAACUCCGUGCCAGCAGCCGCGGUAAUGUCUGUACU
rnacentral:rRNA from 1 species